UACGUAGGGUGCAAGCGUUGUCCGGAAUUAUUGGGCGUAAAGAGCUCGUAGGCGGUCUGUCGCGUUCUGCUGUGAAAACUCAGGGCUUUAACCCUGAGCUUGCAGUGGGUACGGGCAGACUAGAGUGCGGUAGGGGAGACUGGAAUUCCUGGUGAUAGCGGUGAAAUGCGCAGAUAUCAGGAGGAACACCGGUGGCGAAGGCGGGUCUCUGGGCCGUAACUGACGCUGAGGAGCGAAAGCAUGGGG
rnacentral:rRNA from 1 species